GACGGACGCUGGCGGCGUGCUUAACACAUGCAAGUCGAGCGGAAAGGCCCUUUCGGGGGUACUCGAGCGGCGAACGGGUGAGUAACACGUGAGUAAUCUGCCCUUGGCUUUGGGAUAACCACCGGAAACGGUGGCUAAUACCGGAUACGACCACUCCCGGCAUCGGGUGGUGGUGGAAAGUUUUUUCGGCCAGGGAUGUGCUCGCGGCCUAUCCGCUUGUUGGUGGGGUAAUGGCCUACCAAGGCUUCGACGGGUAGCCGGCCUGGGAGGGUGACCGGCCAGACUGGUACUGAGACACGGCCCAUACUCCUACGGGAGGCAGCAGUGGGGAAUAGUGGACAAUGGGCGGAAGCCUGAUCCAGCAACGCCGCGUGAGGGAUGACGGCCUUCGGGUUGUAAACCUCUUUCAGUACCGACGAAGCGCCGAUGAUGGCGGUGACGGUAGGUACAGAAGAAGCACCGGCCAACUACGUGCCAGCAGCCGCCGUAA
rnacentral:rRNA from 1 species